rnacentral:rRNA from 1 species
AUUGAACGCUGGCGGCAUGCUUUACACGUGCAAGUCGAACGGUAACAGGCCGCAAGGUGCUGACGAGUGGCGAACGGGUGAGUAAUGCAUCGGAACGUGCCCAGUCGUGGGGGAUAACGCAGCGAAAGCUGCGCUAAUACCGCAUACGCUCUAUGGAUGAAAGCGGGGGACCGUAAGGCCUCGGGCGAUUGGAGAGGCCGGUGUCAGAUUAGGUAGUUGGCGGGGUAAAGGCUCACCAAGCCAACGAUCUGUAGCUGGUCUGAGAGGACGACCAGCCACACUGGGACUGAGACACGGCCCAGACUCCUACGGGAGGCAGCAGUGGGGAAUUUUGGACAAUGGGCGCAAGCCUGAUCCAGCAAUGCCGCGUGCAGGAAGAAGGCCUUCGGGUUGUAAACUGCUUUUGUACGGAACGAAAAGGCUCUGGAUAAUACCUGGGGCUCAUGACGGUACCGUAAGAAUAAGCACCGGCUAACUACGUGCCAGCAGCCGCCGUAAGAC